GUGUUAUGUAAAAGGAGAGACGGUUAGCACUCCCCUAGACAAGGAUGGAUUAUAACACAAGUAUGGUUAAGGCACAGUUAACCACAUUUUUGU
rnacentral:ncRNA from 1 species